rnacentral:rRNA from 1 species
UACGUAGGGUGCAAGCGUUGUCCGGAAUUAUUGGGCGUAAAGAGCUCGUAGGCGGUUUGUCGCGUCUGCUGUGAAAACGCGAGGCUCAACCUCGCGCCUGCAGUGGGUACGGGCAGACUAGAGUGCGGUAGGGGAGAUUGGAAUUCCUGGUGUAGCGGUGGAAUGCGCAGAUAUCAGGAGGAACACCGAUGGCGAAGGCAGAUCUCUGGGCCGUAACUGACGCUGAGGAGCGAAAGUGUGGGGAGCGAACAGG